rnacentral:rRNA from 1 species
UACGUAGGGUGCAAGCGUUGUCCGGAAUUAUUGGGCGUAAAGAGCGUGUAGGCGGCCCGACCAGUCCGCUGUGAAAGUCCAGGGCUCAACCCUGGAAUGCCGGUGGAUACUGUCGGGCUAGAGUCCGGAAGGGGCGAGUGGAAUUCCUGGUGUAGCGGUGAAAUGCUUAGAUAUUGUCAAGAACACCUAUUGCGAAGGCAGCUUACUAAGCUGUAACUGACGCUGAGGCACGAAAGCGUGGGGAUCAAACAGG